UAAUAAUAAAUCACACAGUCCUAGACAUUUGGGAAGUGUUCAACUUGUGAUUUUGUGAUACGAAAUCGAGCAUAUCUAUCUUGUUUGCUGUGUCAUACAAUAUAAUAAUAAUAAUAAUAAUAAUAAUAAUAAUAAUAACAACAACAACAACAACAACAACAACAACAACAACAACAACAGUAAUAAUACUGUGGGACUUUCGAAUCCAGACUGACAAAGUUUUGGAACCCAACACCAAACCUCACAGUUGUGGAUAAGAAAAAAGUUUGGAUUAUUGAUGUCACCAUACCAGGUGACAGUCAAAUUGAUGAAAAACAACAGGAAAAACUCAGCCGUUCUCAGGACCUCAAAAUCGAACUGCAAAGGCUCUGGCAUAAACUAGUGCAGAUGAUCCCUGUGGUAAUUGGCACACUGGGUGCCAUGCCAAAAGAUCUCAGUCGGCAUUUGGAAACAAUAAACAUUGACAGAAUUACUAUCUGUCAACUGCAAAAGGCCACCUUAUUGGGAUCUGCGCGCAUUAUCCGAAAAUACAUCACACAGUCCUAAACACUUGGGAGGUGUUUGACUUGUGAUUUUGUGAUACGAAAUCCAGCAUAUAUAUCUCAUUUUCUGUGUCAUACUGUGUUUAGGGGUUCAAACCCCCCCCCCCCCCCGAAAUUUUUCAAGUUAUAAAAAAAAAUCUCGUUUACUCAUGAAUUUUAACUGGUUAACCAAAUCCCCAUGCUAAGUCUAUGAGAUGCAAAACAUUAAGAGUCCCUCCAGGCACUAUCUCAAGCAGAUAUUGACAGGUUUGUAGCGAGGAGGGGUAUGUGCUAGGGGUUCAACCCCCCCCCCCCAAAUUUUCAAAACCCCUCCCGAAAUUUUUUUCUGGCUACGGCCCUGCCCGUGCCCAACUGGAGUCGGGCAGUGCCAGUCAAUGAGUUCAAAUUGGGAAGUUUAAUCUCAUUGGCUUGCUGUCUCCAUCCCCAGGGUUACUUGGAGUUGUGAAAGCCAUUGAAAGAAUGCCAGAGCUCUGUAACUGCCCCUGUAACUGCAUAAUGGGCCAUGUGGUGAAUCACACAGCUUUCUUCCAUUCCCCUUCUAUUUAGUUGUCUACUCUUGUCCACAUACAGGUUUUGGAGCCUUGAGAAGAAUGGCUACUGAGAAUAUGAUUCGAAUGGGCUUGGCCUGCCUCACUCUCUUCUUUCUUGGACUGCUGCUGGUGGAGCAUGUUUGCAAUUCACAUGGUGGUAGCCACAAUACAAGGAAAGAAGACCGUGGGAGACCCUGAGAGAUUUAUUGCUGUCUUGAGGUGAUAUGUCAAUUGAAGUCCAUCUCUUCCAUUGAUAGAAUGAGAAUAGCUGUGAGACACAAACUGAAAGUAAGGAAAAAUCAUGAUGCAUUUGGAAAACUUAUCAUCAAAUCAUUUUGCAGGACUACUGUGUAAUUGACUACAGGUACACAAACAUAGGAUGUGAUCUAGGGAUUUCUUUGAAAUCUUAUGAAUGUGAAUACAGGCAGUCCCAAGUUAUGAAAAGAUAGAUUCUGAAGAUUUGUUCAUAAAUUGAAUUUGUAUGUAAGUUGGAACAGGUAGAUUUUUAAAUGUAACUCCAGCCAUAUAUACUUUGAAUAGCAUGGAGAAGGGUUAACAACCCUAUGACAUUUGUUUUGCUGUCUGUGUUCCAGUUCACAAUAUUUCACCUCACUUCCUGUCUGUGAUAAUUGGAUUCUGAACAAUUUGUCUUGUAGAAACAAGCAAUGGUGAUAACGGUUCAGUGGAGACAGCUUUUCCCCAUGAGAACCUCUUGAAUUGGGUUCCAUUGUAGAUGAAAAAAUGUUAGGUGCAUGAAGGAAGAACUUCUGAAAUGGGUUCAAUGCUCCUAGAAAUGCAGGAAAAUAUCCCCAAACCAUGCUCCAUAUUUUCCUGAGAACUUUCCUUCAUUAAGCAUUUGCUUACAGUCCCAUCAGAGCAAAACAUAGUAUGAGAUUUUGUAAAUGUACUUAAUUCUGUGCAGCUGGUGCUAUGCAAAGAGAAUGUGCAAUUUUGAGGUGAUGAUUGUGAUUUUCUUCUGUAAUUAUUGCAAUUGUUGUUAUUAAGCUCUGUUCUUUGUACCCAGGUCCCCACAGCAUUUUCUAUUCUAAAGGUCAUACUUGAGAGAAGCAAUAAUUACAAUUUAUCUAUUAUUUCUAAUCUUUCUGUUUUGUAUUUAAAACAGAUAAAAAGUCAUGUUAAUCUACUACGAAGCAUUAUUUCUAUUUAUAGUUAAAUCCCACUCUAAUUUGAAACCUAGAGUUGUUUCUACCCAUCCACUCACCCCAUUUGUGCUAUCUGUGCUGGACGGGGUUGCACUCCCCCUGAAAUCAUAGGUCCGCAGUUUGGGGGUCCUCCUGGACUCAGUGUUGACGCUUGAGGCGCAUGUGUGGCUGGGAGGGCCUUUGCACAACUUUGCACAACUCAAACUUGUGCGCCAACUGCGACCUUACCUCGUGAAGUCUGACUUGACCACGGUGGUCCAUGCCUUAGUUACCUCUAGACUGGACUACUGUAAUGUGCUCUACGUGGGGCUUCCCUUGAAGACGGCCCGGAAAUUACAAUUGGUCCAGCGCUCGGCUGCCAGAUUAAUAACAGGGGCGAGUUACAGGGAAAGAUCCACUCCCUUGUUCAAAGAGCUCCACUGGCUGCUGUUUAUUUUCCAGUCCCAGUUCAAGGUGCAGACCAUCACCUAUAAAGCCCUAAACGGUUUGGGACCCACCUACCUUCGUGACCGUAUCUCCUAUCAUAAACCUGCCCGAUCCCUUCGAUCAUCAGGGGAGGCUCUCCUGUUGCCACUGCCGAUAUCUCAGGCCCGCCUUGUGGGAACAAAGGAGAGGGCCUUCUCUGCUGUGGCCCCCCGAUUGUGGAACUCACUGCCCGUUGAGAUUAGGCAAGCCCCGACAUUAGUAGCCUUUAAGAAAGACCUGAAAACAUGGCUCUUCCGUUGUGCUUUUGGAGAGUAAUUACUAUGUACAUCUUCUCUGUUACUCCCCUCCAAUAUCUAUCCUCUAGAUUGCACCACUAUUUUAUGACCCUGUUCUUUGUGGUUUUUAUUCUUAUUUCUUUCUCACCCUGAGUUUUAACUUAGUGUUCAUGUGGCCCGUCCUUGUUUUUAUUGUUCUUCUGAUUUUGCGUUGUAAUGUAUAUUAUCAUUUAUUGUAUUGUUCAAUGUGUUAUGAUUUGUUGUUCUUUUUAUAUUCUGUUAUAUUGUAUUGUUCUGGGCAUGGCCCCCAGUAAGCUGCCCAGAGUCCCCGUUGGGGAGAUGAUGGCGGGGUAUAAAUAAAGUUUUAUUAUUAUUUUUAUUAUCCAGCCUACCCAAUCAACUUUGAACCAUGUGUUUUGGAUUUGUAUUCUACAGCUUCUGUAUUUUGAUCUUUGUACCAUGGUGUAUGCACUUUAUAGUGGUGUGUAUUGAUAUGUAUAUUUUGUUAUAUAUUGGAGUGUUUUUACUGUGUUGUACCUGCCCUGAGCCUUGGGAACUGUCAUCCAGAAAACCUUCAUAUCAGCCACCCAGAGACUGUGGAAUGACCUGCCAGAAGAGCUGCGCUGUCAGAUUUCAACACAAUUGAAGAUCUUUCUCUUUCAGCAGUUCUACCCAUUCAAUUUUAAACUUUUAAAUUUACAUUUAUUAGGAUUUGUGUUUUAAUCCUUGCUCUAUGCUUAUUUGUAUUUAUGGGCCUUUGUUUUAUCUAUGUAUUUUAUCUAUGUAUUGCUGCCAUGAGAAGAGAGACAGGUAAUAAAUAACAUUGUUUAUUAUUA